CACAUAGCACAAGAUCCAGGGGUCACCCAAUGAACGUAAUAGGCAGCAGGUUUAAAACAAGCAAAAGGAAGUACUUCACACAAUGCACAGUCAACCUAUGGAACUCAUUGCAGGGGAUGUUGUGAAGGCCAAAAAUGUAACUGGGUUCAAAAAAGAAUUAGAUAUGUUUAUGGAGAACAGGUCCAUCACUGGCCAUUAGCCAGGAUGGUCAGAGAUGCAACCCCAUUACAGGGGUGUCCCUAACCCUCUGACCGCCUGAUGCUGGGAUUGGACAACAGGGUGGAUCUCUUGAUGAUUGCCUUUUCAUUCCCUCUGAAGCAUCUGACACUUGCCACAGUCAGAGACAGGAUACUGGGCUAGAUGGGCUAUUGGUCUGACCCAGUAAGGCCGUUUUUAGGUUCUAAGGACAUCUGUGGCAGCCCUACCACCGGAGGCAGUCUAGGUUUUUUGUGUUUUGUUUUGUUUUUUAACUGGGCAAAGCAAUCGUGAUGUAACAUUGGGACAAACUUGCAUUGGCAGAGGAUGGACUAGAUGGGCUGGAAAGUCCCUUCCAUCCAAAUCUGUACAUCUUCAUUGUGCCUGUUUUCUACUCAGAACCUCCAUUAAUAGUAAUAGGAGUUGCACACAUGAACCUAGAGCUCAGUAUGAACAUACAAUCUGCUCUCCCUCAGCCUAGAACAUGGUCAGCAAACUUUGUGUAUAUUUUCUGAAAGAACAUUUCUGUUUCCCUUAAGAUCCUUUUAUUGCCAUAGGCAAAUUGUUUGCUGUGUGAGUACAAGAUAUUACAGGUAACUUUUUAAAGUGAGAGCUGCUCUUUUAAGGGGAAGUCAACUAGCAGCUCUUUGAAAUGUUGGUGGAUGUGCUUCACCAAUUGCAUACAGAUGUAUAGUGUUUUUCUCAUUCUUAAUUUCCCUCUCUCCAUAGUUGGAAGCAUAGUAGGCAAUACAUGAGACUGGGCUGGCAAAGGAGGACUUUAACUUCCCUUCCAAGGGGAAAAAGGAACAGCUUUCUGUUCCUAUUGAAAUGAGAAUUCCUACAGUAAACCACACCAUGUUGCCUAGCACUCUGAGUAUGAAUUAUAGUCACUACCCUUUUACCUUUUUUUUUUUAAAUACCUUCCAAUUUUCAGUAGUGUUAUGGAACACUCAAACACCAGUUGAGUGUCUUCAUCCAAGCUUUCAUGUGACUUAUUCCCCUUCAGACAGGAAAUAUGCAUGAAAAUUGAUCAUCCAACAGUAUAUAUAGAAAUGUAAAGGGAGAUAAUUUGUAGGUAUUGAUGUCAAACCACCUAAUAAGAAAAUUUUCACAACUGCUAAUCCAUGCUGGACAAGGACUGAAAUAACCAACUCUUGUAGGUAGUUGUAGGCACCACAAAAACACAGGAAUGCAGCAAGUAAUAUAAAAACUGCCUUAUGUAUAAAGUGCAUUGAAUGUUCUUUGGAUAAACAUAUAACCUGAAGAUGACAGGGGACCAAGAGAUUCACUAACUGGGGGCUUUCCUUCCUGCCACUACAUGAACUUUAAAUGCUUAUAAAAGAAACAACCAUAAAGGAAGGCUGUGAGCAGGAAAAAAAUGUUUGAGUUGGUGAUGUGAUUGCUCUAUAAAAGGUGCAUCCUCACUUCUGUCACCAGCAUGUGAUGUGUUUUAAAGCCUGUCAGUUACCAAAAUUUCAUACCUCUGUUUGAACUUUAUUUUAGCUAGUUGACUGUCUAGGAAGCAAGAAUUCUGAAGUAGGCGUAAGGGCAAGGACAGGGAAGGGAGAUUGUCAGCACUUGUUUUGCUGUGUUCCAUAUUGGUUGGCUUGGAAGAACAAUGGAACUCUGAUUAAAUUUGUGCUUGAACAGAAUCCACUAGUCACUAUUUUCCCCCAUCUGUCUGACUGACUUUCCCUGCAUCUCGCUUGGCUAGAUGCCAAGUAAGUAGGCAUUGACAGGACCAACUGAUGCCAGUUCUCAAUUGUUUCAUACCCCUUGGUAUUUUGACCUCUUGUCCGAUGACGGGAGGAAAGAGGAGUCUGUGUGUGAAGUGACAUCCCAGUUCUACUUCUCUGAGCCACCAGCACUAGCCAUAUUCUGUUUGGUGGUGGUUAUCCUAGAUUAUUACUGUAAGUAGUAUUGUAGAUAUGACUACGAUCAUACUCGCCCCACCAAGUCUGGUUGAAGUAAAAAUCUUGUGCUGCACUGUGAGAAUUGACCAGACCUAAUCUGUAGAAAAUAGGAUAUAUACACCAAUUUACUACACACUAGGUGUGACUGGCACAUUAGAUCUAGCCUGGCAAGAAAAGAUAGACAAAAGAGGUGGAGCAGAAAAAAGACAACUGUUUCCUGCUUAUCGCCACUUGUCUCGAUUUUGUUUGUUUUACUAUUGUUUUGUGUGUUGAUGUAUUUGAUAAAUUAAUGUUUAGGAGUAUACCGGGCACAGGAGAGGAUAGCAGUGGAGAAGGAGGAGGAUGACGGUAAAAGGCUAGCCAGAAGAGCAGUAUCCUAAGGAAGGAUCUGGUGCUCAGGAGUGUGACUGUUAUUCCGGAUGUAAGGGGGAGUGUGAAAAAGCAACGGGAGAGACCUAGGGGUUCUGGGACGGGGUGCUGAUGAUGGAAACCAUGUAUUUGGUGUUUGUAUUACUGCUUCAAGCCAGGGAGUGUGGUAGCACCCAUAGUUCCCACACCACCGGAGAGACCAGAGGUUUAUUAAGAUCAGGUGAGUUUGAAAGGCAUAGUACGCAAAAUGGGGGGUAUGUGGAAGGAAGGGCUGAGAUGUGGCAGGAGCAGAGCUGUACAUAGCCUUGAGGUGUAGCUAGACAGGAAGGGAUUGAAGAGAUUAGAGCAGAGGGAUCCUGGCAGAGUCGACACACUAGGGAAGGAAGAUCUGUUUAGCUGUAGCAUUUUGAGUGGAUUGCAGUUGAGUGGUGGGAAAGGUGGAGAGAGGAGGAACUUCCAUUACUCCAUUUGAGAGAACCAGGUCAUGACAUGUUCCAGCAGAAUGGGUGGACUUUGGAUGGAAGCCUGCAUCUGUUUUUUCACUCUGUUUUCUAUAGCUUGGUUGCAUUGGCCAUGGUGGUUUCUUAAAGUUUGUCCUAUGUUCACUUCAGCUACUGCAUAUCAGGUAGCUUUAUAUAUCAUAUAGACAUGUCAUCUGUGUUGACUCUGUUUCCUAAUGUAUAAUUGUGCAUUGUUUGCAUAGUUAUGAAUGUGGUUAAAGUAAGAUAAAUACAGUGUACGUGAUGGGGAAAGAUUAUCAAGGGAGGAAGAAAGAAAAAUUACUUGCUCACCUCCUUCCUUCUCAAUAUUUUAUUUAUAAAAUGCUUUUUAGCAUGUCUAAAAACUUCAUUAAGGGCUUGUCUACAUGGGCCACUCAAAAAUUAAUCUGAGCCAACUAAAGGUUUGAAUUUAAAGUGAAUUAGUUAAACUGCAUUAAACCCCUGUGUGGACAUUCUUGUUCAGAAUUGAAGUGGCCUUAAUUUGGUUUAGCAUAAUUCACUUCUUUCUAAAUUUCUUUGCCAGGGAAGUUAUUUGCAUCACGUGACUUUAGAUGCAAUUUUGCAAUGCAUUUGGUGGAGCCAUUUAUUGUGAGAACUAUGUGUUUGUUUAUCCAGCAUGGUUAAGCCCAGGCUAGCUUAAUAAACAAAAUGUCUAGAACAAAAAGCAGAAAGAAACAUAAAAUGAAACCAUUAGGGAAACACUGUGAAUUAUGUAAAAUCUAUUCAGAAUAGGAUUAGCCAUGUGAUUCUGUGCCACUUGUCAUGGUAUAGUGUAUAAGAAUCAGCUAGAAAGUAAAGACACAGCUCUAUUUCUUGUUUCCCAUCCCAGAGAACCUAGCAUUUUCGGAAACACUGUCAAUGAGCUAGGAGACACAACUCCAAAAUAUUCUGCAAAGACUCUUAUGGUUCUCACGCUCACUUUCACACUUCUUAACCAAAUGAAUGAAACACAAGGUUCUGGUGUUUGUGCCAUUUGCAUCAGGACACCAACAUCUGAUAUUCCUACACCUCCCAAGACAACUUUAGUAUAAAAUAUAUGAUCCACGCCAACCAGAAGUAUUUCAAGGUAUAUUGCAGAUGCUGGUAUCAGGAAAUGCUAUUGCAAUUAAAAAGACUCCCUAUAGUUACACAGUGCCUUCUGUUUUACAUCACACACCGAUCAUUGAUGAACAAUGUGUAUCCAGGAGUCAUCUGGAUACAGUAAAAAUGAGCCUGCAUCAGAACUUCCUUCCAAAUGAGUAACUGGGACUAAUGGAUGUAGCCAGCUUUGCUGACAAUAAAUUAGUCAACAGAAUAGGACAUCUGGUGAUUUGAAUAUCUAAUGAUUUGAAAAUGGCUUAUUCUAUCAGCAUGGAGUUGACCAUCUCAGGAGGUGAGGGAGAAAAUAGUGACAUAAUUCAACCUCAGCUGUGAAUCCAUCUCUGAAAUUGACACUGGUACAAUAAGUUAUGGGGUCCUCCAACUCUUACUUGGAAUUGUUGGUGUAUGUUUACAGUUCACUGGGUGGCUUACCUGAUAAAACCCCAGCAGUGCCUUGCUAUGUCUUGAGCCUGGCAAAAUUCCUCAAGUGUGCAUCAGUUGGAAUACUUGCCUUGUCCUCAGGCAGAUUUAAUGAAAUACCCAGCCAACCUUGAAUACAGCUCUAUCUUUCCUUACGACACAACUAUUCAAGCUGUUGGUCAGUAUUUGGACAAGGAUUUCAGAUUUAGCCAGGUUUUGCCUUGAACUUCAUGCACUAAGUGAGCACAUAGAAUGACAGUCCAUGGCUUCACUGAAACUAGAAUCACCUGCUCCACUCCACGACACGGUUCUGAAAACCCUGGCAGGGGUGCUGGUUGUGACAUCACACUCAGAAGAUGCUGAGAGAUGCAAGAGUGCUAAUGAUCUGCUGAAAACAUUUGAGGACUAUUGAUGAAGAUGAUGUCUUUCAAGGUACAGCUGGAGAAUCACAAAAAGGUUGCUGAAAAAUAGUUUGACAGUCAACCUCCUAUACAUGGAGAAAGAAGGCAAUAGCUGGAGUGCAGCCAUAAUUAAUAGUGUUCAUUUGAUCAUUUUCUGGCAGUAAGCAGUAGAGAAGUCCUCGAAACAUUAACAUGAAUCUGUCACGACUUUACAAGAUAUAGCCUGCAUGUGUGGGGUUUAUUUUUUUGAGAGCCGAAUAAUAUUAUGUCCACCUCUAUGGGUAUAAUCUAGAAGAAGCAGCUGUGCCCAAGAGUGAUGUAGUUGAUAGAGAGCAAGAAACAUGCACACACCAAGGUAGAACCAUACUUCUCAACAUCUAAAAAGAGCUGUAUCACAGCUGACAAUAAGCAUUUCUCCAAGUUCUGAUACAUUAUACAUUCAGGUAAACAGAGGUAGCAAAACCAUCUGCAUUAGUGCCAUUUAGUGGCUUCCAGUAAUGUGUUAUAGUCUGUUGUUUGUUGGGGAAGUAUAAUCAAUUGUAAAUUGGAGUGAAGCGUCUGCAAAGUAAAUCUGUUGUCAGUUACUUAGAACAGUCUAGUUUGCUUGAAAACACCAUUUUCUCAAAAUAUGGGCUUAAAUAACAUUUUUUUAAAUCAUCCUGUCCUCUAGAUAUGUCCUCAGUUCAUGUUGUUGCUUUUCAAUUGGCUAUAUUCUGACUGCUAUAAAAUAAACCAAUAGUUUUGACAAAAUUAACAAUAUAAAAGAAUCAAAAAAGUUAAAAGAACUCUGGUUCAUGCCAUUAUUUUUAGUGGGGGAUUUUGCUGCAUCACUGAUUUUAAAACCUACCAUUCAGGUGUCAUGUAUAUUUUAAUAUAUUGAUAACACACAGACUCAAAUUUCACUUGAGAUAAAGUUAAGCAAACAAAAAGCCAUUAAAUAUUUCUGCACUGGUUACAAAUCAGAGUUUUGUUUUGCAACUAGGUGUUCCAACCCCAAAAACAAAAAGUCACUUAGUGACAUUACUGAUACUUUUAAAAUAAAAUAUAAAAAACUAACCCACCACCACACACACACCCUUAUGACUUAUUCAUACUUGCUUUUUGUCCUUAAAAAUUCCCCACUUGAGCCAAUCUUUGCCAUUUGACCUGUUCCAUAUUGAGAUUUCCAAAUUAAAAGAAACAUCGGUAUCUCUGUUUCAGGAAUAGGUGCUGAUUUGGUGCAAACACUGCAGGAAGUUGUAUGAAAUUAAAAACUAAUUCAGUUCACAGGGAGACCAGAUUGUCUUGCACCAUAAUCGUUACUGUGAUAGUUGAUCUAUUGUUAACCUUAUAAUUCCGAGAAAAGAAAGCCCUUUCUGUCACCCCACCAUGCAAACUCCAAAUACUUGUUUCAGUGAGUAAUGACGGUGAACUGCUGAGGGCUAAACCCCCCUCCUUUGAAAAACUGCUGGGAUUUUAAAGAACUGAGGAAGUUUAACAUGAGAUUAGGCUUCGGUUUUGUUUGUCUUGGGCAGGCAUAAGUGCCAGCUGGAGUUGGGGGAUCUUACAGAUCACCUUUUACAAAAAAAUUGCUUUUGUGGCUUUCUGUGUUGAGUUCUCCCCCUGGUUUAGUGGCAUACCCUGGCCUGCCUGCCCCUUUUAGGUUAGAUAUUAUUAUUAGAUAUUAUACACAGUUAUUAUGUAUAGAGUUAUUAUGUAUACAGUUAUGUAUACAGGCAUCUGCAUUUUUUACCACAUCAAAAUUUAUUUUUAAUUUCCCAAAGUGACCCUGUCCCUAGAGUUGGAGGGUGACUAGAACCCACUUGGGUCUUGCAUGGGCUGAGAGAAAGCAAAGUUUAUUAUUUCAGAGGCUUCCGGAAGAGUCUAAUAAUGGAGAGGCCAAGGAACUUGGUGCAAAGUUAUUCUUUGCAUUCCUUUCCCAUCUUUGUCUUGCACAGAGGGGAUUUCUGUUAGAAAGGGUCAGUGGAGUGUGGUGGUAUGCACCCUGUCAUUCAAAGCCUUUGCCACUUGAGGGAAUGAGACUAACAUAAGAACUGAAUCACUUGCCACCGCUGAGCUCAAAAUGACCAAUUCUCCACGGCUUUUAUAGUUCAGAAAAUAGAAUGCUUCAUUGGUCAGUGAGGAGAAGAUCAGCUUAAUAGCUUUGCUUUUUUAUUUGUCUU